rfam:Dickeya dadantii 3937, complete genome.
GACAGGGAAACACCCCAACAAAAAAGACUGAACCGGCGGCGUCAGGAAAAACGCGGCCGGUAAAC